UCCGCUGCGCCCCGGGGCCCGGGGCCUGUGCUGCCGGCCCGGUGGCCGCGCCGGCCCUCCGCAGCUCCCCAGUGCACGGCCCUCCGCAGCUCCCCAGUGCACGGCCCUGUGGCUUGUCCCGCCGGGGCGGCCUUGUAGCCUGACCUCAGAGGAAAGCUGUGGGCUGCGGGGGCCUGCUGAGGAACCGGCCGCCCGGUGCUGUGAGGUGUCCGUACGCACCGCAGAGCGAUCCCUCAGUAGAGCUCACCGGGCCCCUGACCGCCUGGCGCCCCCACCUCAUGGUUCUGCACUGUGGCCUCCUGGUGAGAAGACGACUUCAGACUUCCCAGGCGAUCCCCCCUCUCGAUGGCGCGUAAGACACAUCAGCUCCCAGUGUGUGCAUCAACUCCGGUGCACAAGGUGUUUCAAACAUGGAAUAAAUAUCCUCUGGGCAGAUGAGUACAUUCAAGGAGCGUGAAGAGCCACCAAGCACAGCAGCCUUUGAAGCCAGCGUCCCGGAGCCCGCUCUCCCCGCCGUGCCCGGGCCGCCCGCCGGCAGCAGCAGGUGGCAGCCGUGAUCCGCGGCAGAGCUCGGAGCCAGCCGCGCCCGGGAGGAUGCCACAGCUACACGGGGAUUAUUUUUUCCUAACUUCAGUGAAUAAAAAAGAGGGGAAGUUGCUUACUAUACGGGUUUUAGGCUAUAUUUAUGCUGCUGUGUGAGCUCAGAGCUCAGCUCACAGUCAUACCCCUUGUUAGCAUUGGAAUAGGUAGUCUAGUGAGCUCUGUUCUGCUACAAACACAUCCCUCAUUUCCUCAGUUUGCUAGCUGACAGCUUAGGUGUGAGUUGAGCUGGUAACCAUCACUGCUGUACACACAAAUCCUGAAAAAUAAUCAGCAGAAACAGUUAUCAGGAAGGUUCUAGUCCUGGUAUUUGAAGAAGUAAUGAAAAAAGCUUUUCUACCAGAGAAAGUAAAUGGUGAGCUAUUCCUUCACCUGCAAGGACAGGUAGCUUGAAACACUGAAAGUACUCAGGGACUGCAGUCAACUUUUUUCUGUCUUGUAGUUACCGAGCCUUUCAUUAGGCUUCAUGCUAUCAAGAUUUUUCUACUGCAACAGGGAAUGUUCAUGGACUAAUAGAAACAUAGAGUUGUUUCCAGAUAAAAUGCACACAGAGUGAUAAAGCUGUGUGAGAGCAAUCUUUAAGAGAAGCAUUUAGUGUCCAAGGCUGUGGUAAGAUUGCAAAACUGGCAACAGUGAAAACAAACAAAUGAAAGUAAUCAAGGGGGCUGCAGGAACGCAUGCAAAGGCAAAGGCUCCCCUUGUGGGGAAGGGAGACUUGUGUAAGAUGGAAGAAAGGCAGUUAGCACGGAGGCUUUUCUGGAAGUUUCAAAGGACAAAAGAAGCAAGAGGAGGGAAAGGCGCUGGAGCAGAGGAAGAUUCAGACAAGGAACUGCAGAAAGAAGUGUGAGUUGUUACGGGGGAAAAGGCUAUGAAGCAAGAGCAGUGCAUGUUCUUCAGCGUGCUCCAAGGACAGUCCUGACUGAUGAAAUACCCAUCCACAAACCGUGUAUCCUCACUGCUCUGCUAGGCUUUGCUGACUGACAGUUACGUGCUUCGUGCCAUCAUUAGGUAAGAAAAUGCCUCCUGUUAUUCCUGUUACACGUUACAAGGUGAUAGGCUGCAUCCCUACACAAUGGCCACCUGUCUCUUGUUUGCCUGACCCUGUGUACUGAAAAUUGCUUUACAUGUUCAGUGUGAUCAUAGAUUUACCUCUUCUGAAAGACUGGCAGCUGGCUGCCCUGUAAGAAAACAUUGCACUCUACAGAACAUUAAGGCUACUUCUGGCUGGCUGCACUGAUGUACUUUGUCUUACUUUUUAGGACAGUUUCUAGAAACAAGUUUUGUUGUGUUUGUUUGUUUGUUUGUUUUUGUUUUAUUUCAGUGUAAUAUUUUCAGCUGCUUGUGAGAGUUCCAGUCUAAAGCUUACAGAAAUUCCAUUAGUUUAUCUGCUUUCAAUAUCUCAGUCAGAUUUUUGUAUCUGCAAAUUUCUUUACUUUCUUUCUUUAUUUUUUUUUACACCCAUAAUUAAGGCACACUGGACUUUACUCCUGCAAACUUCUUUGUCCCGCUUAUCAGUGAAGAAUUUACAGUGUAUCUCCAAUCUCUCAUUCCUAUAUAUUGUCCUUUAGUUAAAUAAGAGGACUUUAAAGUAUGGAUAAAGUUUAGCAUCCAUUUUAAACCAAAUAUCUUCAGUGAUGUAUUUUAGUCCAUUCUGUCAGUUCCACGAGCACAACCAUAAACAACAUUCACAAUACAGAUUAGUCUAGAAUAUUUUUUCUCCCUCUACUGGACACUGAAGGCCACAAUACAUGAAAAAUAUAAUUUGGACAAUUACGUUAAAAGCUUUACAUUUCAUCUCUUGAAAUUGGGAUACAUUUGAAUGACGUUUUUUGGUCUUGCAGCUUCUUUACACUAGUUUGAGUGACUGAAUCAAGCCUGGGGCAUCUGUCAUAUGCUGUUUGUCACCCAUCAAAAAUCGUGUUUAUCUUUGCAACCAACAGAGGUGGCAAGUUCCUGAAUGUUAAAAUUGUAAUGAUGGUUAAACCUAAAGGCCAGUGAUGUAGAGCUUUAAAAACAUGUAAUGAAGAGAAGGUUAUUAUUUCAACAAAUUUGCAGCUAACUGUUUGUUUUUGUCAUUAAAAAAGCAGAGCUGGAACAGGGUGAUACUGAAUGGUGAUUAUAUGCAAACCAUCUGGUGCUGAAGAUGUUAGUUGCACAUACAGCACUUGAGAACAAAGUGAACAAGGUGAGCGUACUUCUGAUAACAAAUGGGGUGUUAUUUUGGUUUAAAAAAAAUCCUUGGAACGACUAUCUCCUAAUCAGACAUUAAAAACAAGAGCUCCUGAAAUGCCUAGUCGCUCACUUCAAAAAGCUAACAGAUUGAAAGAUGCGUUUUCACUUUAUAAAAACGUCAGCAAUUUGUCUCUGUUAUUCCAGAUUCAACAGGGUUGAGCCCAGCCUCACUCCCAGCCUAAUCAAUAGACAAACGAACUUCUAAUAGAUGAGGUGCUAAAAAUGAAGCAAGCCUCACAAGUCAGCAGCGCUAAGUAGAAUAGCAUGCUGCUUCCGUCUCCUUUCAGGCUGAGACUUCCUUCUGCGCUUGACAAACACGGGCUGUUCUCGAAAACAACAGAGACAUAUUGUUCUUGCAUCCUGUAAGGUGAUGUAACUGCAGUGCUGAGGGGAUUAACACCGAUUCUGCAUUUUGUGGAAAAUGACAUUAUUUAGAAAAACACCGAUUGCCAUUCAGACUGUAGCAAGAAACAAUAACCUACUGUAUCUGACAGAUUAGCAAAUAUUAACUUUUAACUUAGUUUGCUUGUCAUCUUCCCACCCCAUUUACCCAUUUCUUAUCAGCAGAAGCAAAUGUCAGGCAUAUCUCUUUGAAAAAGGGGACUGCUUAACGCAAAAGCAAACAGAGCUACUGAAGUUACUGCAGUGACUAAUUUUUCUAAUUAUUCCAGAAUUGACCUGCUGUCUACAGAAGUAAUGGAAAACAAUGAUACAGGAGCAGGCUUUGUGCCAACAAGUUGAUUAGUCUUAACGAGAUCAAUUUUAACAGGAUGGACCCAUUGAUGUGACAUAUAAACAUAACUGUAAAUAUGUAUAUUGUAUAUUUUUCCUCCUUUUCUCCUGUACCUGUUUCAUCAAAACCUCUAAUAAAAUAUAAGGCAAUAAAAUGAUCA